rnacentral:rRNA from 1 species
UACGUAGGGUGCAAGCGUUAAUCGGAAUUACUGGGCGUAAAGCGUGCGCAGGCGGUUUUGUAAGUUUGUCGUGAAAGCCCCGGGCUUAACCUGGGAACUGCGUUUCUAACUGGCAGGCUUGAGUGUGGCAGAGGGGGGGUGGAAUUCCACGUGUAGCAGUGAAAUGCGUAGAGAUGUGGAGGAACACCGAUGGCGAAGGCAGCCCCCUGGGCUAACACUGACGCUCGAUGCACGAAAGCGUGGGGAGCAAACAGG